UAGGCCGGAUAUGGAAGCCCUGUAAGGGGUGGAGUUGACCGGUACUAAUAGGCCGAGGGCUUGUCCUCAGUUG
rnacentral:rRNA from 1 species